CCAAUAGCGUAUAUUAAAGUUGUUGCAGUUAAAAAGCUCGUAGUUGAAUUUCGGGGUCAGUAGGUCGGUCGUGCCACUGGUAUGAACUGGUUUUACUGAUUCCUCCCUCUUGAAGAACUGUAAUGCCAUUAAUUUGGUGUUGCAGGGAAUCAGGACUGUUACUUUGAAAAAAUUAGAGUGUUUAAAGCAGGCUUUAGCUUGAAUACAUUAGCAUGGACUAAUGAAAUAGUACGUUUGAUCCUAUUUUGUUGGUUUCUAGGAUUGACGUAAUGAUUAAUAGGGAUAGUUGGGGGCAUUAGUAUUCAAUUGUCAGAGGUGAAAUUCUUGGAUUUAUUGAAGACUAACUACUGCGAAAGCAUUUGCCAAGGAUGUUUUCAUUAAUCAAGAACGAAAGUUAGGGGAUCGAAGACGAUCAGAUACCGUCGUAGUCUUAACCAUAAACUAUGCCGACUAGGGAUCGGAUGAUGUUAAUUUUUUAAUGACUCAUUCGGCGCCUUACG
rnacentral:misc_RNA from 1 species